rnacentral:rRNA from 1 species
UGAACGCUAGCGACAGGCCUAACACAUGCAAGUCAGGGGCAGCACAAGGAGCAAUCUGAGGUGGCGACCGGCGCACGGGUGAGUAACACGUAUGCAACCUGCCUGUAAGCGGGGAAUAACCCGUUGAAAGACGGACUAAUACCGCAUAAUACUAAAUUACUGCAUGGUAAUUUAUUUAAACAUUUAUGGCUUACAGAUGGGCAUGCGCAUGAUUAGCUAGUUGGAGAGGUAACGGCUCCCCAAGGCAACGAUCAUUAGGGGUUCUGAGAGGAAGGUCCCCCACACUGGUACUGAGACACGGACCAGACUCCUACGGGAGGCAGCAGUGAGGAAUAUUGGUCAAUGGACGAGAGUCUGAACCAGCCAAGUCGCGUGCAGGAAGAAUGUCCCUAUGGAUUGUAAACUGCUUUUGCAGGGGAAUAAAGUGCAUCACGUGUGAUGUUUUGUAUGUACUCUGCGAAUAAGGAUCGGCUAACUCCGUGCCAGCCGCCGC